GAUGAACGCUGGCGGCGUGCCUAAUACAUGCAAGUCGAGCGAACAGACGAGGAGCUUGCUCCUCUGACGUUAGCGGAGGACGGGUGAGUAACACGUGGAUAAUCUACCUAUAAGACUGGGAUAACUUCGGGAAACCGGAGCUAAUACCGGAUAAUAUAUUGAACCGCAUGGUUCAAUAGUGAAAGACGGUUUUGCUGUCACUUAUAGAUGGAUCCGCGCCGCAUUAGCUAGUUGGUAAGGUAACGGCUUACCAAGGCGACGAUGCGUAGCCGACGUGAGAGGGUGAUCGGCCACACUAGAACUGAGACACGGUCCAGACUCCUACGGGAGGCAGCAGUAGGGAAUCUGCCGCAAUGGUCGAAAGCCUGACGGAGCAACGCCGCGUGAGUGAUGAAGGUCUUCGGAUCGUAAAACUCUGUUAUUAGGGAAGAACAAAUGUGUAAGGAACUAUGCACGUCUUGACGGUACCUAAUCAGAAAGCCACGGCUAACUACGUG
rnacentral:rRNA from 1 species